UCUCCUCCUGCCUCGCCCGCCCGUCUCGGUUUCCAGAACCCGACAGCUUCGGAAGAGGCGCGUUCCGUCCAUCACCUCCUUGAUUCUCGCCGCCUCCUCUUAGGUCUGCUCAUGGAGGAGAUUGCUGAUCAGAAGGGUGAAGUCCAAGGAGUUCCGCCACCAGGGGUCAAACCCAUGCCCUCUGCAGUGGAAGUGAAGAGUCCUAACCACUGGACCGCCAGCGAAUUCCCAAGGCUGAUUCUUUAUGCUAAAAGUUCGGUGGGUUUUGACAAAUGCAUAAUGUCAUGCACAUCAACUACUCUGUGUGCACCAUUACACACAGAGUAGUUUCACCACCCUAAAUAUCUCUUGUGCUUCAUCUAUUCAACAUUCCUUCCCUCUCCCCAAACCUUUGGCAACCACUGUCUCUAUAGUUUUACUAUCUCUAUAGUUUUGCUUUUUCCAGAAUGUCCUAUAAUUGGAAUCAUAUACUAUACAGUUUUUAAAAUUUGUUUUAAAUUUUCUUGGCCAUGUCGCACAUCUUAUGGGAUUUAAGUUCCCUGACCAGGGAUCGAACCUGGGUCCUUGGCAGUGAGAGCGGAGUCCUAAC